CCUACGGGAGGCAGCAGUGGGGAAUCUUGCACAAUGGAGGAAACUCUGAUGCAGCGAUGCCGCGUGAGUGAAGAAGGCCUUUGGGUUGUAAAGCUCUUUCGUCGGGGAAGAAAAUGACUGUACCCGAAUAAGAAGGUCCGGCUAACUUCGUGCCAGCAGCCGCGGUAAUACGAAGGGACCUAGCGUAGUUCGGAAUUACUGGGCUUAAAGAGUUCGUAGGUGGUUGAAAAAGUUGGUGGUGAAAUCCCAGAGCUUAACUCUGGAACUGCCAUCAAAACUUUUCAGCUAGAGUUUGAUAGAGGAAAGCAGAAUUUCUAGUGUAGAGGUGAAAUUCGUAGAUAUUAGAAAGAAUACCAAUUGCGAAGGCAGCUUUCUGGAUCAUUACUGACACUGAGGAACGAAAGCAUGGGUAGCGAAGAGGAUUAGAUACCCUCGUAGUCCAUGCCGUAAACGAUGUGUGUUAGACGUUGGAAAUUUAUUUUCAGUGUCGCAGCGAAAGCGAUAAACACACCGCCUGGGGAGUACGACCGCAAGGUUAAAACUCAAAUGAAUUGACGGA
rnacentral:rRNA from 1 species